rnacentral:rRNA from 1 species
GACGAACGCUGACGGCGGACUUAACACAUGCAAGUCGAAGGGAGUGGCGAACGGGUGAGUAACACGUGAGUAACCUGCCCUUUUCUUUGGGAUAAGCCUGGGAAACUGGGUCUAAUACGGGAUGGAUUGGGAUGGGCUGGCGGCUUAUGAGCUGGUUGGUGGGGUGAUGGCUUACAAAGGCUUUUACGGGUAGCCGGCCUGAGAGGGUGGGCGGUCACACUGUGACUGAUAUACGGCCCAGACUCCUACGGGAGGCAGCAGUGGGGGAUAUUGCACAAUGGACGAAAGUCUGAUGCAGCGACGUCGUGUGUGGGAAGAAGGCCUUCGGGUUGUAAAGUACUUUCAGCGGGGAGGCGUUACCCGCAGAAGAAGAACCGGCUAACUCCGUGCCAGCAGCCGCGGUAAUAC